rnacentral:rRNA from 1 species
GACGAACGCUGGCGGCGUGCUUAACACAUGCAAGUCGAACGAAGUGGCGAACGGGUGAGUAACGCGUAAUCAACCUGCCCUUCAGAGGGGGACAACAGUUGGAAACGAUUGCUAAUACCGCAAACUGAAGGAGGGGAUUGCGUCUGAUUAGCUAGUUGGAGGGGUAACGGCCAACCAAGGCGAUGAUCAGUAGCCGGUUUGCGAGGAUGAACGGCCACCAUGGGACUGGGACACGGCCCAGACUCCUACGGGAAGCAGCAGUGGGGAAUCUUCCGAAAUGGACGAAAGGCUGACGGAACAACGCCGCGUGAGUGAAGACAGCCUUCAGGUUGUAAAGCUCUGUUAAUCGGGACGCGGUACCGAAAUAGAAAGCCACGGCUAACUCCGUGCCAGCAGCCGCGGUAAUUC